CUCGGGAGUGCCAGAAUGCCAUCACAACGUUAUGAUCGCACAACAUUCUGGUCAACUGCAGAAGGGCUGGUGCCCAGCCUGAGCUCAAGGGCCUGGGUGUGCACAAGGCUCUCCGGAAGGUUCUGAAGCUGGAUUUUACUCAGCCAGAUUCAGGGACAUUUAGGUUGUUUAUAGGUUCUGGCUAUGACAAACAAUGCUGCUAUGAACAUGGUUGAACACGUGUCCUUGUGGUACAUAUUGAGCAUCCUUUGGAUAUAUACCCAAAAGUGGUAUUGCUG